rnacentral:lncRNA from 1 species
AGUUUCUUUGUAAAUUACUGUCUAAAUGAUUGUAUUUGAUAUAAUGACUAUUCUUGAUAUAGCACACACUGAUAAUGUAAUAAACCAAUAAAUCUGAGCACACGUGAGUCAUAAGGGGUAAUUACAUCUCUUUUUAUCUGUGUGUCUAUGGUGAAACAUGAAUGCAGAAGAGAAAGAGAAGAGGCAAUGUUUCUGUCUUAGAGUAAUAGUUUAUCAUUGCCCUUAGGAUAUCCCUAGCAAGUUACAAUGAAAGUGAAGACAGGUAACACAGUAAAAAGUGAAAUACAUUUCAGAGAAGG